rnacentral:rRNA from 1 species
UACGGGAGGCAGCAGUAGGGAAUAUUGGACAAUGGGGGAAACCCUGAUCCAGCCAUGCCGCGUGCAGGAUGAAGGCCUUCGGGUUGUAAACUGCUUUUGUACGGAACGAAACGGCUCUUUCUAAUAAAGAGGGCUAAUGACGGUACCGUAAGAAAAAGCACCGGCUAACUAC